AUGCAAAGGAGAGAAUCUAAUAAAGUCAGGCUCUGAUUUCAUACUGUAAAAUAAUGCAGUAAUAAUGGACAAAGACAGAAACUACUGCUUCUUAAUCUCAGGAUUUACAUGGUUCUGGAAAGCAUUACGUGUAAGCCUGGACAGAGAUGACUGAAGAUGGGGAACUGAACAAAGUAGUACAGAACUGGGAGGAAGGAAGGAUGGUAAGCAACUAGAAGGUGAACAAGCUGGCUUGUAGGACAUCAAACAGCAGGAUAGCUGGCACACUAAGGGUUAAAUCUCUGUGAACAAAGGAGAAUGUCUUCAAGAACAUGAAUGAAGCUGUGAGUUAGUGUGAACCUAUUACUCCUCACUGUGACAUCUCAUGAGAUACCAAGACAUCAAACAUGAGGCUGAUUAAGUUGAUAAGUCAAGGAUUUUUCUGUGUCCAUUUCUGUGUAAGGGUUCCAUCUAGGCUCACAAACUAGGAUUACGUGACGGUAUGAAAGGAUUGGUGCAUCCUGCAGCAAGAAUUAAUCAAGAUCGAUUUACAGUGACAUUAUAGAGAAGUAGGCAGGUGUCUUUCUCAUUACACCUAUUUUUAUUUUAAAUUUCUCAGUAAUCUCCUUUUUUUCUGACAAACUGUUUA